rnacentral:pre_miRNA from 1 species
CACCUGCAGGCCGACCCCCAGGCUGGACUGGGCGAAUACCUCUUUGAAAGGCUGAGCCUGAAGCAGGACUAGGAGG